GGAGGGAGAGAAAGACUCAAUAAAACAUGGGACACAUGUAUCCUGGUUAAAUGGUGAGCAUAGCGUUCAGUCUGGUUUAAAGCUGGAAUCCUUAAUGGUGAAACUGACACGUCUGUUUGCAAUAUUACAAAAAAGUUACUACAAACCACAAACUAAGUUCUCUUCCCUCAGACAUUGACGUGCGAUAGAACAGCAGAAUAUCGACUGCACAUGUUUAUACCACAACACUCCUCACCUCCACUUUGUCAACAAAACUAAAACAACAGCGGUGGGGCGGACACUGUUUCCACCCACUGCAGAGUCUGGGCCUACAUGUCAUUUUGUAUGGACAGCUGAGAACAACAUGCAACCUACUUUCUGGCUUCCCAGGUCUAAGUCAGAGAAAGAACACUCAGGCCCCAUCUGGAGUGCAAAUGGUUCUCGGAGCACACGUCCUUGAUGUCAAUAAACGUUUACUUCUAGUAUUUUAACUAAGCACACACUUGACUUCUACUAAGGAGUGGGAAGAAACAGUAAAAGUUAGGGGGGAGGGAGUGAGGGAGUGUGCUAGAAGAGUAGUGGGUCAGAUUUGUUAGCACUGUUGCAUGGUGAUCUGGAGGAAGCAGGUUACCCAUGCUAACACUGUUACAACGUGUGUUCUGCAGGAAGCAGGUUACCCAUGCUAACACUGUUACAACGUGUGUUCUGCAGGAAGCAGGUUACCCAUGCUAACACUGUUACAACGUGUGUUCUGGAGGAAGCAGGUUACCCAUGCUAACACUGUUACAACGUGUGUUCUGGAGGAAGCAGGUUACCCAUGCUAACACUGUUACAACGUGUGUUCUGGAGGAAGCAGGUUACCCAUGCUAACACUGUUACAACGUGUGUUCUGGAGGAAGCAGGUUACCCAUGCUAACACUGUUACAACGUGUGUUCUGGAGGAAGCAGGUUACCCAUGCUAACACUGUUACAACGUGUGUUCUGGAGGAAGCAGGUUACCCAUGCUAACACUGUUACAUGUGUUGUGAAGAAGCAGCGUCGACCACCGCAGGUAACA